rnacentral:rRNA from 1 species
UACGUAGGAGGCAAGCGUUGUCCGGAAUUACUGGGUGUAAAGCGCGUGUAGGCGGCAGGCCAAGUCUGUGGUGAAAUCGCUCGGCUCAACUGGGCGGGGUCCAUGGAAACUGGUCAGCUGGAGGACGGUAGAGGUGAGUGGAAUUCCCGGUGUAGUGGUGAAAUUCGUAGAUAUUCGCAAGAACACCAGUGGCGAAGGCGGCUCACUGGCCCGGUACUGACGCUGAGGUGCGAAAGCAUGGGGAGCGAACAGG